rnacentral:lncRNA from 1 species
CUGCACUCCAGCCUGGGUGACAGAGCUAGACUCCAUCUCGAAAAAAAUAAAAGAACUUCCCGUGUCCGUUUUUGCUUUUUGGAUGCUGGGAGUGUCACAACUCAGCUAUCCAAUCAAGGCAGAGCUGGCCUCCAGGAUGCCAGAGCCAGAGCUUUGUGGUUCAUCUCUAGAGGUUCAACAGGACCCUGUGGAUGGCCCAAGUUCGUUUCUCUGCACUUACCUCUUCGGGGUUGUCCUCAAAACGUUGCCGUGUCAGCUCUCACUUUUCACAGCAACUCUGGCCUCCUACCUUGGACUGCGCCACUUCUGUCUCCUUAGAUAACCUCCAUUCGCAUAGCUAAAUGCUGCACCCUCCGACACUGCCACAAUAAUAGUUCUGUGAGUUAGUACCAUUUUAUAGAUAGGCAAAAUUUGGCACAGGACAAAAGUUAGUGGUAACUAGAACAAAAGUAACCAGCCCAAGCUAGGAAGUGGUGGAGUUAGAAUUUGAUGUCAGCACCCAGCUGACCAUGGCUUAAACAGAUGAGGCUUUGUUCAAAGGCUGUCUUUUCAGUGGCUCAGCUGUGUCACAGUCGAUGUUUUCUGCAAUCUCUCAACCUUUCCAUUGUGGUCAUGAGGAGACUCCUAUGGCUCCAGCCAUUGCAUCCACAGUGAAGACUGAAAGAAGGGGGAAUGGGCAGGCCAACACUUACCGCUGAUGGUGUUUAAAGGAAAAACAUUCCCAGAAGCCUGCAGCACAUGCCCCCCUUAGUCUCACUGGCCACAGAUGGGUCAGGGGGCCACCCCUAAUAACAACGGGGCUUAGAAACCUCGUAUUUACCUUUCUAACCUCUGUGGUGGAGACAGGUGGGAGAGAAAAGUCCUGGGAAGUGGAUGAUGGAGGCAGCUAGCCGUAGCUGCUGCUUUUCUCUUCAAGCUCUUGGGAGAAUUGCUUGUGCUCCCUAUUCCCUUGGUGGAUGAUGGAGGCAGCUAGCCGUAUCUGCUGCUUUUCUCCUUCAAGCUCUUGGGAGAAUCGCUUGUGCUCCCUAUUCCCUUGGUGGCAGCUCACACCUCAGACCUGCUGUCCGCCCCCACUGCUUCACAGAACCCACUGCAACCACUGUCCAAGGUACUACCUCUGGUGUCGUCUCUCUUCAUCCCCAGGACUGUGAAGCCUGCUAACCUCUUUGCAGAGCUCCAUCUCCUUGCAUUGUGGGGUUCCUUCUAACUCUUCAGGGACUUCUCAACCUCCCGUCACCCUUCCUAAAUGCUGGGGUCCUAGAGUCCACCUUGUGCUCCACGCCCUCCCCAGGUGUCAUCUACAUCCCUAGCUUUGUGCUGCUCACCACCAAAUCAGUCUGGUGCUUCUGAGAUUUGGGCUUCAGACCCAAACAACUGCUGUGUGCUACUGGGCAACUCCCCGAGGUGUGCCGAAAGCUCCCCAAACCCAGCCUACCCCAAACAAAACUCAUUUUCCACCCAGACUAGUCUCUGCUUCCCUGAUCCCUUUCCUGGAGGCUGUUUCCACUUGCCAUCCCAUCAUGGAAGCCAGAAAACCAGUCUUCUUGACCUCUCCCCUUCCCCACUCCAUGGAGUUAGAGGUCCUGUUGAUUUUGCCAUGUAAACAUUUCGGAUUUGCUUACUUCAUCCCCACUGCCACCAACAGUGCAGGAUGGCCCUAAGAGGAGAAGUAAUGUGCUACCAAGUGGCCCAGCCAGAGUGUGAACCAAACAGUCUGGUACCAAAACCCUAUUCUGGAUCAUUCCUCCUUUCUGCUCCACCAGCAGUUUGGGGCACAGGCUUGGGAAUCCAGACAGGAAAGCUCCUCCCCUCUGAAGCAGUGGGACCAAAAAUGACAGCAUGGUUCUAGACAGCUCUGGAAGUCAGGCCUGUGAUUGCCUCAUUCCCUCCACCUUGGCCCCCAAAAUGGCCAGUCCUGAAGGGGUCACAGUUGAUACUUCUCUGAGGGGGCAUGGGGUUGGCUGAGGUUAUAGCAGCCCCACAGGGUGGUAAGCUGGGAUGAAGCAAUCAACUGGAACUCAACAAGCCUUGAGUUCUCAAAGGGGGUGUGGGAAGGUUCUUAUACAUCUUCUAUGAAGGGCAGUUUAUCAGUCACUAAAUUACAAAUACAUAAACCCUUUGUCUCACCAAACCUGCUGGGAAUGAAUCCUACAUAUAUAUUUAUAUGUGUGCAGGCUACAUGGUUUUCAUUAUGCUAUUGAUUUUAAAAGUAAAAAUUUGGAAAGAACCUCCAUGUCCACCAUGGGGAACUGGCUAAGUCAUUUAUGGUGGAAUGGUGAUCAUAAAAAUUCAUUAAAAAUGAAGACUCUAUAUACAGCUUGAAUAUUCCUUAUCGAAAUGCUUGGGACCAGAAGUGUUUCAGAUCUUUGCAUAUUUUCUGUUUCUCAUUUCAGUUCACAUUUUCUAAGCAUGAUAUUCCUACUGAUUUCCUUGUAGAUAUUUUGAAACAGAUAAGAAACUCCUCCGUGGAAAUUACUGUUAACUAGGGAAAAGACAUGUUUUUUUCUGUUCAUAAAAGUAAUGCGAGUUCUUUGUAGCAAAACUUGGAAAAUGCAUAAAAGUAAAAAAAAAAUGAAAACUUGUGUAAAAUUCCUCAUACUUUAGCCAUCCAUAGAUGGUCCUUACCAUUAGGAUUUUACUAAUUUUCCUUGCAGCUUUUUCUUAAAAUAUACACGUGUGUCUACACAUACAUAGUGUACACUAAAUUUUACAUACACACAGAGGAAUAUAUAUGUGUAUAGUUAUCUUGUGUUUAGAAAUUUGGAAUCCCUUCUAGUUGUCUUGUAACAUGUGCUUACUCUAUUUUGAGGAUUUUCUCUAUGAAUUUCAUGUAGCUCUUUAAAUUAACUUUCAGGAGGAUUGUAACAAUGUGCUCUCCACCCAGUAUUUUACCAGCCUUGAGUUUUCUCAAAGGGGGCAUUGGAGGGGUUCUUAUACAUUUACAGUGGGAAUGUGAAUUGAUACAACUUCUGUGGAGGGCAGUUUAUCAGCCACUAUCUAAAUUACACAUACAUAAACCCUUUGUCUAAGCAAACUUGCUGGGAAUAAAUCCUACACAUAUAUUUGUAUGUGUGCAGACUGUUUGUACAUGGUUUUCAUUAUGCUAUUGAUUUUAAAAGUCAGAAUUUGGAAACAACCCUCCAUGUCCACCAUGGGGAACUGGCUAAGUCAUUUAUGGUGGAAUGGAGAUCAUAGCCUUAAAAAUGAAGACUCUUUAUAUACAGGUUGAGUAUCCCUUAUCCAAAAUGCUCAGGACCAGAAGUGUUUCAGAUUUCAGAUUUUUGAAUUAGGGAUCCUCAAACUAUACUAAUGUGAGAAAGAGCUCUAAGAUAGUUAAGUAGAUAAAAGCAAGGUGUCAAACUGUAGAGUAUGUUUCCAUUUAUGUAAAGAAGAAACAGGCUAGGCAAGGUGACUCACGCCUGUAAUCCCAGCACUUUGGGAGGCCGAGGCGGGUGGAUCACCUGAGGUCCGGAGUUCAAGACCAGCCUGACCAACACGGUGAAACCCCAUCUCUACUAAAAAUACAAAAGCUGGGUGUGGUGGUGCACACUUCUAAUCCCAGCUACUCCGUAGGCUAAGGCAGGAGAAUCGCUUGAACCCAGGAAGUGGAGGUUGCAGUGAGCCAAUAUUGUGCCAUUGCACUCCAGCUUGGGCAACAAGAGCGAAACUCCAUCUCAAAAAUAAAUAAAUAAAUAAGAAACAUUUGUUUAUAUGUACACACAUAAUCUCUGAAAGGGUAAAAGUGGCAUACUGGUUGGCCAGAAGAAUUGGGAGGACAGUGAUGAGGAAUAAUUUUCACUCUUUAUCAUUUUAUAUUUUUGGAAUUUUGAAACAUGUAAAAUUAUUACCAGUUCAAAAAAUAAAUUUAAACAAAAAUCUUAACUGUUUCAAAUUAAAGUAAGUUUGAUAAUUUCUUUCA